UCCGGACCAAAUCGCUUUGUUGAUUCAAAGGCAACGGAGUUUGGAGUGGAAUGAAAUGCAUAUGAUGUUCAUGGUCUUCAUUUCAAUUGCAAGAUUCAUCUCUCCACGUACUCGAUUAAAAUUGAAAACCAAGUGCCCAUUUGCCAUCAAAAUGCAAAACGGAAAUCCUAAAAUUAGAGGGCUAAUAAACCAUGAAUUUCAAUCCUGAGCCCUAACUCCUAAAAUAAACCUACUAUGCUCAUUUUACAUACCCUAAAUUUUUCCUCCGAGUUCAAAUUCUACCCUAAAAUCUAAUCAGAUCCAUACAUUCACAAAUGCAGCUUUAUUUCCAAAAUAUGUAAUCAAACCGAAACCAAUAGCUUAAAAAAAGCAUCAUCGAAAAAGAUAUUCAGA
rnacentral:misc_RNA from 1 species